UACGUAGGGGGCAAGCGUUGUCCGGAUUUAUUUGGGCGUAAAGAGCGUGUAGGCGGCCAGACAGGUCAGCUGUGAAAACUCGAGGCUCAACCUCGAGACGUCGGUUGAAACCGUCUGGCUAGAGUCCGGAAGAGGAGAGUGGAAUUCCCGGUGUAGCGGCGAAAUGCGCAGAUAUCGGGAAGAACACCCGUGGCGAAGGCGGCUCUCUGGGACGGUACUGACGCUGAGACGCGAAAGCGUGGGGAGCGAACAGG
rnacentral:rRNA from 1 species